rnacentral:ncRNA from 1 species
UCCUUCGGGGCCCUGUGCGGUAACGCAAACCAGCUCGGAGACGCCGAUGCGAGCCCCGGGAAGAGUUUUCUUUUCUCUGUAAGGAUAUCGAGUCCCUGGAAUGGGUUCGCCCCGAGAUAGGGAUGGUGGCUCCGUAGAGCAGUGCGGUUCUUGCGCUGUCCGGUGCGCUCGCGUCGGCCCUUGAAAAUCCGAGUGAGGGAGUGUGAUUUUCGUGCCGGACCGUACCCACAUCCGCAGCAGGUCUCCAAGGUGAACAGCCUCUAGUCGAUGGACCAAUGUAGGUAAGGGAAGUCGGCAAAACGGAUCCGUAACCUUGGGAUAAGGAUUGGCUCUGAGGACUGAGCCGGUCGGGCUGGGGACCUGAAGCAGGAACGGCACUGCACCGGGACUGGGCGGGGCUCGCCGUUCACGCGGCGCGGCCAAGCCCGGACCAGCGUCGGGACCUUCCUGUGGAAAGCCUCAGCUGCGCGGCGUCUGAGGGCUUCGUGCCCAAAGUGCUAUGCUUCGGCCGGCAAAAAACAGUCAACUCAGAACUGGCACGGACCGGGGGAAUCCGACUGUCUAAUUAAAACAAAGCAUUGCGAUGGCCGCUGGUCGGUGUUGACGCAAUGUGAUUUCUGCCCAGUGCUCUGAAUGUCAACGUGAAGAGAUUCAUCAAAGCGCGGGUAAACGGCGGGAGUAACUAUGACUCUCUUGGGACACAGAAGUCCAUGCCGGCUGUUACCGCAUGGACAUGUGCCAACACCCACGUGCACGUCGUGUGUCCUGCCAGCCAAGGAGUUUGUGCUUCCUGUGCUGCAACGGGUGCUCUGGCUUCCUUUGGGCAUGUGGGUUGCCAUCCCACUUGCCUUUGUAUCUCUCGGCAUGACCAAUAAAAGGAAACACAAAAUUCGU